UUCCUUCUUAAGUAGUAACUUCAAUCACCAAUCACUAAUCACCAUGUCCUUAAAAAUAAAAAAUUCUUGGAAAGUGAUAAUAUAUUACUCUUUUCGUUCCAAAAUAUAGUUACUAUUUCUAUUUUGGGUACUUCAAAAUGUAGUAUUCAUUUUCAUAUUUAGUUCCACAUUUUUCCCGUAAUUUGUCUAGAAAAAUUGUGUCCCAUCAUUUAUUUGCUUAUUGAAUUUUGUUUUUUCCUUUGUUUAUUCAACCAAAAUGUUACAAUAAUUAAUGUUCUUUCACCAAUUAUUCUCUAUUUUCUCUCCUAAAAUCAUCUUUUUCCUUACAAUAUUUAUUUGAAUUAACAAAAAAUCUUUACUAUCUCUCUUAGAUUCUACUUGCAUAAAUUACCGUGAAAAAAGGAAAAUGGAAAUUAUAUUUUGAGACGGAUGGAGUAUAAAAUAAUGUAAAUGAAAAAUUUUGGGUGGUCAUAGUUAAUUAUAAGAAUAACGUAGUGAUUUCUAAUGAUUUUAGAAUUAGAAACAUAAGUCGAAAUUAUGUAUUACACGAAAAAAAAAAACCAAUAUAUUUUUAUAGUGAUAUAGUAUCGAACGAAAACUAUUCCACCUUUAUUAAAAGUAUUUUUAACCUGAUAUAUUAUUAUUAAAUAACUCUUUAUAGUUAGAUUAAAAAUAUUACUUCCUCCAUCUUCCAAGUCUUUUCGAAAAAUAUGGCAUAUAGUGUUAUUAAGUUUUAUGAUAACUAGAGUAUAGAUACAACAUUUAUGCAAGUAAUUUUUUAAAGUUAAUGUGGAGAGAUGAGUCAUGAGCAAAUGGUUAAGAAAGAUGAAGUGCAAAGGAAUAUUCUUUUCACUUAAUGAUGUCACUGUAUGAUGUCAAUGAAUGAUGUCAACAAUAUAAACGCGGCAAAUAUGAUCUGCUAGAUGAGAGAUCUUAGGUACCUAAAUCUUUUUUGUUUUGGUUGUUUGACAUGGUGUACAUAAAAUUAGAGGUGGGCAUGGGCCCGGGCCGGCACGAUUUGGGCCCGGGCCGAGCCCGCUCGAGGUCCGGCCCGUUGUCUGCUGCGUGGGCCGCGGGCCUGUCACGGGCCACUAAUGGGCCUGGGUCCGUCCCGGUCCGUCAUUUACUCAAGCCCGCGGGCCGAGCCCGUGAACAGGCCCGGCCUAGCCCAUGCCCACCUCUAGGUGUAGUUACUCAAAAUUGCCCCUUUUCACUUUGAAUUUACUAUUUUACCCUUCUCUUUUACCACCACCUACCCCCUGCCUCCUACCACUACCUACCACCCAUCACCACCCAUGUCGUAAAAAAAUGAUUUUAAUUGAGAUUAAGGGGUGAACGUAUGGCCAGGUGGUUUGACCCACGGCCCGAACGUUUUGCAUGUACAUUCAGACCAUGGGUCGAACGUCUGGCCAAAAAGGUCGAUCCAUGGUCCGAACGUCCAGGCCAGACGUUCGGGCCAUGAAUCGAAUGUUCUAGCCAUACAUUCGACCCUCAACUAAAAAAACAUUGAAAUUUUUUUAAGAGGACGAACAUCGGGUCAGGACGUUUGGGUCAUGGGUCAAACUUCCUGACUAGACGUUCAACCCAUGGCUUGAACGUCGAGGCCAGACGUUUGAGCAAUGGGUCGAAUGUCUUGGCCAGACGUUCACCCCUUAGCCCUAGAAAAAAUUCAAAAUAUGGGUGGUUGACGAGGUGACGAUGGGGCUUGAGGUGGCGGUGGGGAUGGAGGUGGCAGGAGGUGAUGGUUUGGAGAAAGAAAAGAAAAAAAAGAAGGGUAAAUUUGGAAAUGUUUGGUGAGAACGGGACGAUCUUAAGUAAUUUUGAGGCGAUGUAUAGCAGUUUAGCCUUAAAUUUAGAUGGUACAUCUGAAAAAUAAUUUUUAGAUGUCUCUUUUUUCCAUGAAUGUCUCAUUAAUUAAUUUGUAAGUACCUUGAGGAAUAAAAAAAUGAGAUCUUGUACAUGUUUUGUACGUACACGUAGAAGAUGAUCAAUUGUGCAAUCUAUACAAAUAUAUUAAAAAGCGUACGAAAACAAGAAAAUGUGUCACGUGACGCUCUCCCUAUGGAGUUUUAUUUCAUGCUGUAAUCCAUAUACAAUAAAAAAAAUUAAGAAGGAAAGUGGAGGACCACUACUUAUUCUCACAUUUACUAUAUAUUUGAACCUAUCGUAUUUAUCAUUGUUAACCAAAACUUUGAAAAAAAAAAUUUAACUUAGGGCAAACAAAUAGAAUAUUUUCACCGUCGUUAGUCAUUAAGAGCAUUUGGGUGUAUUGUUAUGAAAUUGAAAGGACCCCGUGUAUUUUGAAAAGUGUGAGGAUAAUUCGUGAAUAAAUCAAAUAUUUGGGGAUACUUCGUGAAAAAACUGUGUAUUCUACCAUAAAGUUUUUGCACGAAAAAAAGUUACAUUGACAUUAUUACCUUUAUUAACUACCGUGAUUUACAAAAUAAAUCAAGUCAAUACGAUUAUAGAACAUAGUUCAAGUGAAUUUAUUAAUUUUUUAAUUAAUUGGCCAUAUUAGCUAUUGGCAUUGUUCACAUACUUAAUAUUGACUUUCUUGCAUGCAUAAGAUAGAAAAAAAUUAUCAUACACCUGAAUGUAUCGUGAUCAUAGAUUCAUGAGAUUUUUUUUUUUUUUUGCUCAUUGCUCAUUGCUCAUUAUAAACUAUUUAAAUGAGCAAAAUAUACUAAAAAGAUAUAUCUCCAGUAAGCAAAUGAACAAAAUUAGUCAUAUAUGCUGGCAUACACCUUAAUAUUGAUAAAUGAACUCAUAAUUAAGAAUACUUGAUUAAUUAUAAGAUAUGUUUUUCUGGUAGAUCCUAAUAUCCUAUCCAUACUUUUUUUGUCAAACAUAUAGAAAACGCCAAAAUGGACAAAAAAUUGACAAAAAGUAUGCAUAAAAGGAUUACUUACAGCGUGCAAGGGACUGAGAAUAUUAGAUGACUCAUAAUAUUGCAUGCUACUUUGUUGACAUCGCUUGAAUUGUAAAAUCUUCAAAACAUGUACUUCCUCCGUUUCUUUUUACUCGCUACACUUCUCAUUUUACGGACUCCUAUGUAAUUUUUGGAGAAGAGAAAGGUAGAGAGUAAAAAAAAAAGGGACCCAUGUGGGAGGAAAGAGAUAGAGAGAAUUUAUUGUCCAAAAAAGAAGUGUAGCAAGUAAUGUGAAACUUCCUAUAAUGGAAAGUGUAGCGAGUAAAAAGAAACGGAGGAAGUACUUGACAUUGGAUUUACAUCCACCUGUAUAUAUUUUUUCCAUCAAUUUAUGUGUAUCCUCAAGUACAAAAUUAAAUGAGUAAUAUCAAAAUUUUCAACAAAAACACAAUCUUUAUACUAUAAAUAGCCACGUAUGAAGUUGAUUUAGACACAUAUGAUACAAAGUCUAGCAUGUUAAUUACCACCUAAAUAUUUUUUACCAACUAUAAUACAUUAGCAUAUAAAUUUUGUAAGGAAAGAACAUUAGGAUACCCUCGACACGAACAAAAAAUAGAUUAGCAUGUACUUCCUCUGUUUCUAAAUAAGUGCAACAUUUAUUGUUUUCACGUUUGCCAAUGCAUUAUUUUAAGGGUUAAUUGGCUAGAACAGCACCAACUUUGGACCAAGUGCAAGAAACAGCACAACUUUAAGCGGGUGCAAAGCGUAGCACCAACUUAAAGGUGGGGUGCAGGAAAUAGCAUAAAUGAUGCCGGAGAACGGAGAUUCCGCCGGAACUAGGGAAUCUCUAUUAUUUUAAUGUUUUUGUUAAUUCCAUCCCCUUUUUUUUUAGUAAGUCACGUGUUCUCUUUGUUUUUCCCUCUUCUUCUUUAACUUCCAACUCCAUUUUCAAUCCCCUUUUCUCAAUUAUCAGAAACCCUAAAUUCCCAAUCUCAUUUAACAAAAAUCCCCAAUUCUCUCUCUUCUCUUCUUCUUUAACUGAGAACCUUCAUCAUGGUUGAAAGGCAUGGGAAAGUUUACUGCCACCAUGGCUUGCCAGCCAUGACGCAAACUGUAAGCAAGAGAAAUGGGAACCAUGGCAGACGGUUCCAUGGGUGCUCAAAGUGGAAGGAUGAUGAUUGUGAAUUCUUUGAGUGGAUUGAUAAGGAAGCAUAUGGGCAACGUGCUACUGAGGUUAUUCUAGCUCUUAUAUCCACGAAUGAUGCACUAGAAUCUGAAAGCAAUAGAUUGAGAAAUGGAAUUGAAGCAAAAGCGGAUGCCGAAAGGAAGAUUCAAGGGUUGAAAAUGGAGGUCAUAGGAUUGAAGGCUGAGAACAAAUUACUAAAACAACAACAAACCACUUUCAUUAUUGUACUCUUCAUUUCAUGGAUGUUUGUGUACUUGUGUUUAAGUAGGUAGUUUAGGUAUGAUACAAUAUUGCUUUUGACAAUAUUGAAUUUGUAUCCUUGACUGGUGGUUAUUCAAUGCAAUAUUGCUUUUGAGUA